rnacentral:rRNA from 1 species
CGCUAGUAAUCGCAGAUCAGCAUGUUGCGGUGAAUACGUUCCCGGGUCUUGUACACACCGCCCGUCAAACCAUGAGAGUCACCAACACCCGAAGUCCGCCUUGGCGGCCUAAGGUGGGGGAGAUGAUUGGGGUUAAGUCGUAACAAGGUAAC